UACAGGGGGGUGCAAACGUUGCUCGGAAUUAUUGGGCGUAAAGCGCACGUAGGUGGUUCGUUAUGUCAGAUGUGAAAGCCCUUGGCUCAACUGAGGAAGUGCAUCUGAAACUGGCGAGCUAGAGUAUGUAAGAGGGUCGCGGAAUUCCCGGUGUAGAGGUGAAAUUCGUAGAUAUCGGGAGGAACACCGGUGGCGAAGGCGGGUCUCUGGGCAGUAACUGACGCUGAGGAGCGAAAGCGUGGGGAGCGAACAGG
rnacentral:rRNA from 1 species